ACUGUGACUCAGCCAAUCAGAGCUCAGCACAACAAAAGCUCAUUAUGCCUGCUGGAGUCUCACAUAUGUUGCUUUUAGGGUGUCACAGCCCCCGAGUCCUUAACUGGCCUCAUUUCCUGCCAUUGUUUUCUGUUAUCUACUCUGCCAACUUUCUUCUCCUUCAUUGUCCAGGACUUUCAUCAUGCAGGCCUGCCAGCCAGCCAACUUCUCUAGGCACUCCCUCCCUCCCCAGCAAUGGACCCCUGCCAGCCUCCCACUUCACCAUCCCUGCAUGCUUUUUUAUUAACACACCUUUUGACACCUGACCAACUAAAGUCUGCUUCUGGGCUCA